rnacentral:sRNA from 1 species
UUGUAGCCCAGAUGGAAGCGGCAUCCUUUUGUGGCAGGGUUUGCCACAAAAGAUAUAGCGGACAGCUGGAUUAGCU